AUUGAACGCUGGCGGCAUGCUUUACACAUGCAAGUCGAACGGCAGCACGGGGGCAACCCUGGUGGCGAGUGGCGAACGGGUGAGUAAUAUAUCGGAACGUACCCGGAAAUGGGGAUAACGUAGCGAAAGUUACGCUAAUACCGCAUAUGCCCUAAGGGGGAAAGGCGGGGGACUCGCAAGAACCUCGCGUUUUCGGAGCGGCCGAUAUCGGAUUAGCUAGUAGGUGAGGUAAAGGCUCACCUAGGCGACGAUCCGUAGCUGGUCUGAGAGGACGACCAGCCACACUGGAACUGAGACACGGUCCAGACUCCUACGGGAGGCAGCAGUGGGAAUUUUGGACAAUGGGCGCAAGCCUGAUCCAGCCAUGCCGCGUGAGUGAAGAAGGCC
rnacentral:rRNA from 1 species